AUAGUUCUACCCAUAAUGCUGCCCCAUUUUCCACGGUUGCCUAUACAGAUUGCAGGUAAUUUCUCUCCCUAUGGCUUAUUGGAAAUUUUGAACAAAUGACAGUUUCAGCAUUGGACAAACUGUGCUUUGCAAAUAAGCAACCUUAUUCUGGCUAAAAUGGAGAACCCCACUAACCAAAUAUAAGCACAAGCAAAGUAGUCUUCUCUUCCUUUGUACAUUGUUGCAGAUUAAACAGCAUCUUACCUAUGAGCAGAUGCGUGCGGCAUAGGAUAUGGCAUGGGAGACACAUUCAUUGGUGCACCAGGAACCACUGUUCCUGGGACUGGAGCUCUGACACCGUAUGCCAUGUGUGCUGGGGCAGGAAGAUUCAC
rnacentral:lncRNA from 1 species